rnacentral:tmRNA from 1 species
GGGGGCGAUCGGUUUCGACGUGGGGACGGAAAGUCAAUCUGCGUGCAGGGGCUCCUGGACCUCUACAAAAACCGGGACGUUAUAUCUGCGAACGACAACGCAAUCGCUCUCGCGGCCUAAAAAACCAGCGAAGCCGUCCAACCGUGAGAUUGUCUUGGUAACGGAAGGGCGUCACUACUAAGGCUGGAUCAGGUGAGGAUGCCCUCGAUAGCCUGGUCGAGAUCAGUGAGGGAUAGGUCCUGACCGAAUUCAGGAAGCCUGUCGGCGGGCCAUCACCGACUACGCACGUGAACGAGGGUUGACCGGAAGCCUUGCGGACCCGGGUUCGAUUCCCGGCGCCUCCACAA